UACAGAGGGUGCGAGUGUUGUUCGGAAUUACUGGGCGUAAAGGGCGCGCAGGCGGCUUGGCAAGUCGAGUGUGAAAUCCCUUGGCUUAACUAAGGAAUGGCGCUCGAAACUACCUCGCUCGAGUGUGGUAGAGGGAAGCGGAAUUCCGGGUGUAGCGGUGAAAUGCGUAGAUAUCCGGAGGAACAUCAGUGGCGAAGGCGGCUUUCUGGACAGUAACUGACGCUGAGGCGCGAAAGCUAGGGGAGCAAACAGG
rnacentral:rRNA from 1 species